GCCCGGCUGAUGAGUCUGAAAAUAGGACGAAACGCGCGUCUUGGAU
rnacentral:hammerhead_ribozyme from 1 species